AAGUCCCUGUCCCCCCCCCCCCGCACCAAGGAAAAUCCAGGGACCUCCACGCUGUAGUCCGGAAUAAGCGAGUGCAGCCAGGUUUCCGUGAAGCAGAAGAUACUGCACUCCCUGUACUCCUUCUGGGUACCGCUGGUUUGUGCCGUCUCCUCUUCUCCCUCCGUUUAACUCCAGACCUGCAGCCCCGUCGUCUCCUUCAUAACUCCUCUGGGACCACAGGCCUGUCUCCGGGCAGCAGCAGAGGCUUACACAGCGCAAUCAGCUGUUCACGUGCGUAAACAAUGCCGCUACUCCGUUCGGCGAGGUUCUCCGUAACAAAGAGUA